GUUUAUGAAAGUAAUGUCUGUUUAUUUUAAGGAGAUUCUAAAGAUAGAAAAGCGUAAACAGAACCAUGAACUUCCCACAUUUAUGCUUCUCCUCAGCAGGGAGUCGCGGCACACACCUGUAUUGCCAGCACUCUGGGAGCCUGAAGCAGGAAGAGUCCGUAUACCCACAAAGGUGACCUGAUAGAACAAAGUGGGUGGGACAGAAGAAAAAACUAACGUCCACGGAAAGCACAAUCCUCACAUUAAAAUUUCCCAGCAGCCCUGUCGGUGCGGCCCUCUACAGCACUGACUGACCUCCCAGGAAAGCAUUCUGGGGUCCAUCAUCGCCCCGAUGCUGUAAUCCAGCAGCCGCCAAGGGUUAUUGUUAGGAGUCUUGAUGCUCGUUCCCUCCCACUAGAGUUUACUGAAUAGAAUUACAGUGACAGAAAUAAAGAAAAGAGAUGCUUACAAAACACAGGAUCCAGUUCAAAUUUUAUUUGUAUACAAAAAUAUAUUAUAAUGGGGAAAGCAUAUUACUAUUUCCAACUAUAUAUAAUUAAUUACAAAUAUUUUCAUAAAAGCACUUUAAAUUACAGAAAAGCUAUGUUUUAAGAGAAAAAUAUAACAUUAGCAUAGAUCAUCUGUUCUAAUACGUUGCACGUAGGUAAACAAAGUCAGUCUCACUGUUUGAAUUGCCCAGAGGUAGACCCAAGAGCUAAUCUUGGGGUGGGCUUAAGCAUGGCCUGGUGGUUGAGGAUUUCUCUCUCCUUCCUCUGGCAGCAGCUGAUUUU